rnacentral:rRNA from 1 species
GACGAACGCUGGCGGCGUGCUUAACACAUGCAAGUCGAACGGACUAUUUCAUUUCGGUGGAAUAGUUAGUGGCGAACGGGUGAGUAACGCGUAGACAGCCUGCCUUUGAGAUGGGGACAACAGUUCGAAAGGACUGCUAAUACCGAAUGUUGUAUAUUUUCCACAUGGAAGAUAUAUUAAAGAUGGCCUCUAUUUAUAAGCUAUCGCUCAAAGAUGGGUCUGCGUCUGAUUAGCUAGUUGGUGGGGUAACGGCCUACCAAGGCGACGAUCAGUAGCCGGUCUGAGAGGAUGAACGGCCACAUUGGGACUGAGACACGGCCCAGACUCCUACGGGAGGCAGCAGUGGGGAAUCUUCCACAAUGGACGAAAGUCUGAUGGAGCAACGCCGCGUGAGUGAAGAAGGGUUUCGGCUCGUAAAGCUCUGUUGUCGGGGACGAAUGUGCCUUACUUGAAUAAAGUAGUGUAAUGACGGUACCUGACGAGGAAGCCACGGCUAACUACGUGCCAGCAGCCGCAGUAA